rnacentral:lncRNA from 1 species
GGUAUUAAGCUGAAAAUAAGUCCCUAUAGGGGCAAAUAAUGACUACUUUAAAAUAUUUGAGGUCAUCUUAUGUAGGUUAUGUGGUGGAUUUUCCCUGUGAUGCUUCAUAGAAAAUCACUAGGCCUAAUAGGUGAGGUUUCAGAGAGGUAACGUUUCAACUCAAUGAAAGACUUGUCCAGGUAAAGGUAUAUAGUUGGAAUCAGGGCCUUAAUUAUAUGAUGGGACUCAUGCUUUAUCUUGGUUCUAGAGACUGGAUUUGUCAAGUUGGGAACAUAGAAUUAAUUUUUAUGUCAUCUUGGAUAAAACAGAAUAUCUGCACUGUUUUCUCGUUACUUUCUAAGUCAAGUACUGACUGGAUGGAGAAAGAGCUGUCUCCUACCCUUUGUGACUCUUGAAUCCGCUCAGUCUUGGAACUACUGACUCCCCACAUGUUGGGUGAAUCAUGGCACUAGAUAAAGUGAAGUAAAAUCACUCAUCAUCAGGAUUAGUUCUAACAGCAUCUGCAGAAACCAAAGGAGAGCCAUGAUGUGACAGCUCUUUUGAAAACCUCCGUCAGAGUCAUCUGCUUCCUCUCGUUAUGUCUUUCCUCUUCAACUAUUUCCUCAGCCUGUACAUCUGGAGAAUCUCCUGUUCUGCAGUAAGUUAUCUUUGUUUCAUGAAAUCUGUGCAAUUUGUACAACACUUUCAACUAUCUUUAAAAUAGACAACACCCUGUCUGGGUCACACAGAUUGGACCACUGAGUGAAUACGUAGCAUUCUUUUUAGCCCUUUUGACAAUGGAUAAGGCCACCAUCACAAGGCAUUGGGUUCAUUUAAAAUUGGUGCCACAUCAUAGGGUUCACAAAUCACAAUGACAUAAAAAGAAGUAUUAUUUUUACCCCUCUCCACACCCACCUUAUUCUUCAUCUAUCCUUCUAGCACUCUAUAGCAAGCAUUUCAGUUCUGCAUAUAUGUAAAUUAAUUCUUAAAUGAUUACAGGGCCAUGGUGGCUUCUUAAAUAGGUGAUAAUUUUUUAAAGAUAUUUUUAAAAAGUCAGUAUUUGGAGUUGUAUAAUCCUUAGACUCCUGAAAACGAAUCUCUACUGUCAAUUAUUUGUAGGCUGAAGUAAAAGAACUGGCCUUGACUCUCAGAUGGAAUAGAUAAAUAUCAAACAUAUGGUUGGUUUUUAUAACCAUAUAAUCCAACUUAAAAACAAGAAUGUACCAACAGAAACUAAAAAGAUCAGCAUAAAACUUUUGUCACAAUAGGCAGGUCCUUUUAAAAGAAGAUGGCAAAUGUUUAGGUCCAUUUACACUGACUUGCUUGCAUUGGCUUCAGAAGAAUAAAGAUAAAAAAUACGGGCAAGAAUAAUCUUUAAGAAAAUAUAACUAGUUCAGAAGUAUUUACUUUGUAGAAAUAAAGUCCCAGGGGCAGAAAUACAGUGACCACAGGUAUGUGAGCUUGUAAAAAAUCUAGUUAAAGGAGAAGGCACAGUAUCACUAAAUCAAAUCAUAAGGUCUGACCACUGAGAUGUUCAGUUUGCUACAACUCAGAACUCCAGGGAGAAAAUGGUUCAUGAUGAACAAUCCAUUAUCCUUAGAUUAUUUGGAGCAAUAAAACACCUGAAAUAUUUCAAAAUGAAGUCAUAAUUCUGAUUGUCAAAAGUUUCAUCUCAUUUAAACUAAACAAUCAAUUACCACAUGUGCUUUAAAAUACAUGUUGUUACUUAACUUGGGUCUUUGGAAGCAGGUGAAUUGAGAGUGGACAGUUAAGUUCCUCCACUUAAUCUUCAACCUUUUCCUUGUGUCUCUGUAUUGCUAAUACAAAUCUUAAGCCAGAGCAUGUUUGUUCUUCAAGGUCUGUAAUAGCAGGUACAAAUCAGCUCUGCUAUGUUGACAGCCUUAAUUGAAUAUGCUCAACAUUAGAUUAAAAAAUUAAAAGUAUAAUUCCUUUCACCUUGCAGGGAUGUUUUAAAGUUAAUUAUAUAAGCCAAAAGAGAGGAAACAAUCAACCUCACCACGUAUUAGGAAUCAUUUUCAUCAUUACCCAUCAUUCUUUAGGAAUCAUGUCAUAUGAUUUAUUACCUAAGUGUUCAAACAUUUUCUUUUUUGUCAAAGUUUAUUACCAAAUGGUCUAUGUAAAAUAUAGUAAGAUUUGUCUCCUUGCGGUGAAACUUAGUUUAUCAUUUAAAAUUUAAAAAUCCAGGAGAGACUUAAUUCGAUGCUACACAAUUAUGGAAGGAGAAAGUGCAGACGUGAGUGUAUUAGAAAAUAUCCUUCCCUCUCUGUUAGCUUGUGUCUGGGGUUCAACCCUUUAUAGAGUAUUUUUCCUUCCCCAUAGUGUCAGCACCCCUAAUUUCAUUUGGGAUAUGCUUGUUUUUCAAGACAGAAGGUAAGAUUUUCCUUUUUGUUGUUUAAUUUUUUUUAAUGUUUUAAAGAACUCUAUAAAAGUAAUCAGCAUACACAUUUUUAAAUAUUAAAAUGCAGAUAAUGAUUCCAUUAAUCCCGUCUUUCUGUCCUUACCUUUUAGUCUUUCUCCUCAAAGGCAGUUGCCUUCAACAGUGUAUCUGCUGAUGUAAGUUUGAUAAAUUCACUUGAGCAUCUGCUGAAUUUGUCUAAGUGGAAGUGUCUAGAAAAUCGUUGGAUGUACAGGCCUGAAAUCUAGGAGCGAAAUCUUGGAUACAUGUAUUGCUUUGGGAAUUCUCAAUAUAAGGGUGGUAUUUGGAGCUAUGAAAAUAAUAUCUGUCUCAGUGUUUGCGUUUUCAAAUAUGUGUGGGAGAGCUCUUUGCAAAAGGAUCACAUAAAUGUAGAGUAUUCUUAGAGAAUACAUAGGUUUAAGUGUGCAAAUAGGAAGCUUAGUAUUAAUAAACCUUGGUAGGCCACUGUAUAUCUUGACUACAAGUAACUAGAGACAACAAGAAAAGAGAGAUGAUACAACAAACUGGGUAAAAAACAGCUCAAAGAUCAGCAGGAGUGGAAUGGAGGAAAAGAAACUGGAACUCAAUGUUAGGUUUUCUUUUUCUUUUCUUUUUUUUUUUUAGGGCUGCACCCGAGGCAUAUGGAAUUUCCCAGCCUAGGGGUCAAAUUGCAGCUGCAGCUGCUGGCUUAUGCCUCAGACACAGCAACAUGGCAUCGAAGCCGCGUCUGCAACCUACACCCAGCUCCUGGCAACACCAGAUACUUACCCCCCUGAGCGAGGCAUCUUCACGGAUACUAGUUGGAUUUGUUGCCAUUUAGCCACAAUGGGAACUCCUAGGUUUUCUUGAGAUUAAACCUAGACUCUCUGUCCUACAGCCAGCGGUUCAGCAAUUAGAAGGAGGAAUUUGGGGUUAAUGAUUUCUUAAGCAUCACAGGAUUUUCCAUGGAGAUGGACAUAACUAAAAUAGAGUAUUCUUGCAUGAAAAAUUGUACAGUAAGUAAAAUUUGCCUUAACUUCUUUCAAUAUAAGUGCCUUUUAUUUUUAUACUGUGGUUUCUCAGAAUUCUCUGCUUCAGUGUUCUACUCAGUUUCAUCCCUUCUGAUCAAGUUUCUUCAUCUAGAAGUUUUUCCUUCACUUUCAUCAAAACUCACCUGAACUUCCACUACUGUCCAUGAAAGAUUAACUGCUAUGAGAAUUGUUUUUCUACCAAAUACAUUUAUAAAAUGGGACAAAGGACGAAAAAGUUUACACCUUGAACAAGAGGCAGUGCACAACUGUGAUCUCUGAGGUUAGAAAAUAAAUAAGGUAAAUCCUAAAAUGUCCCUAAUUUUCAUGUGCAGGGGCAGUUUGCAGAUACAGCACAUUCAGGGGACAUUCAGCCCAGGUCUAACAAUCUAGCUGAGUUGGUAACUGAACUUAGAGCUAAGGGAGGCGAUUGGAUAAAAUUCAUAGGGCACAAUAUCCAAAAAAGGGGUUGUACACACACACGCAGUGUUUUGGAAGUCUGCAAAAAUGUCCUCUUGAGACUUUGAUUGAAUAGAUGUAUAUAAUAGACGAAGUAAAAUGUCAUAAAGCCAAGGAAAACACCAACUAGAGAUAGUAGGAAAUUCUCUGGAGCUCACCUAUAGCUGGGAAGAAUGUGUGUUCCUGGCAGUCAGAGGUGAUAAACUUCAUUAGGCAUGCAGCAUUGGUAGACUCCUCAGAAGUGUAAAGCUUGUUUUAAAACUUCAAUAAAAAAGUGAAAAAGAUAGCUCUUUAGUUUUUUUAUUGAGAAACUCACAUACUGUUUUCCACAGCUGUUGUACCAACUUACAUUUCCACCAAAAGUGUAAGAGUGUUCCCCUUUUUUCAUACCCUCUCUAGCGUUUAUGAUUUGUAGGGUUUUUGAUAGUAGCCAUUCUGACUGGUGUGAGAUGAUAACUCGUAGUUCUGAUUUGCAUUUCUCUAACAGUUGUUGAUGUUGGGCAUCUUUUCAUGUGCUUUUUGGCCAUCUGUCUGUCUUCUUUGGAGACAUCUAUUUAGAUCUUUUGCCCAUUUUUAUUUAUUUUUUAAUAGUUAUUUCCCCAAUGCAAUUUUUCUUCCUACUAUACAGCAUGGUGACCCAGUUACACAUACAUGUACACAUUCUAUUUUCUCACAUUAUCAUGCUCCAUCAUAAGUGACUAGACAUAGUUCCAAGUGCUACACAGCAGGAUCUCAUUGUUAAUCCAUUUCCAAAGUUUCACCCAUUUUAAAAUAUUGGGUUUUUGUUUUUUUGAUAUUAAGCUGGAUGAGUUUGUAUAUUUUGAAGAUUAAUCCCUUGUCAUUUUCUACCAUAUGAUCCAGGAAUCCCCCUCCUGGUCAUAUAUCUGGAAAUAAUCAUAUUUUGAAAAGAUAAAUGCACCAUAAAAUUCGUUGCAGCACUAUUUACAAUAGCCAGAAUAUGGUAGCAACCUAAAUGUCCAUCAAUAGAGGAAUGGAUAAAGAAGAUACAGUGUAUAUAUAUAUGGAUAUUAUGGGUAUAUAAAUGAAGAUUACUCAGCCGUAAAAGAGAAUAAAAUAAUGCCAUUUGCAGCAACAUGGAUGGGCCUAAAGAUUAUCAUACUAAGUGAAGUAAGUCAGAUGGAGAAAGAAUAAUAUCAUAUGAUAUCAUUUAUUUGUGGAAUUUUAAAAAAUUAUGCAGAUGAACUUAUUUACAAAAUAGAAACAGAUUCACAGACUUUGAAAACAAGCUUAUGUUUAUCAAAGGGGAAGGGUUGACCAGAUGGACUGGAGGGUUUGAAAUUGGAAAAUGCAUACUUUUGUAUAUGGAAUAGAUGAUAAGUGGGGACCCAAUGCGUAGCACAGAGAAAUCUACUCAAUGUUCUAUGAUAACCUAUAUGGGAAAGGAUACAUGUAUAUGUGUGGCUGAAUCAGUUUGAUGUACAGCAGAAAUUAAUGCAACACUGUAAAUCAACUAUACUUCCAUAAUUUUUCUUUUUCUUUUUCUUUUUGCCUUUUUUAAGGCUACACUUGAGGCAUAUGGAGGUUCCCAGGCUAGGGGUCCAACUGGAACUAUAAACACCAGCCUACGCCACAGCCACAGCAAUGCCAGAUCUGAGCCACAUCUGCAGCCUACACCACAGCUCACAGCAAUGCCAGAUCCUCAAUCACUGAUAGAGGCCAGGGAUUGAACCUGCAACCUCAAAGUUCCUAGUUGGAUUUGUUUCCACUUAGCCACAACAGGAACUCAAUAAUUUUUCUUAAAAAAUGAAAAAGAAUUCCUUGUUCUUUUUUAUGGCUGAGUAGUAUUCCAUUGUGCAUAUAUACACCACAUCUUCCUAAUCCAAUCAUCUGUUGAUGGACAUUUGGGUUGAUUCCAUGUCUUGGAUAUUGUGAAUAGUGCUGCGGUGAACAUGCGGGGGCAUGUGUCCUUUUUAAGGAAAGUUUUGUCCAGAUAUAUGCCUAAGAGUGUAUGUGUUACUGGGUCACCAUGCUGUACAGUAGGAAAAAAGUUGUAUUGGGGAAAUAACAAUUUAAAAAGUUAAAAAAAAAAAAAGAAUACCUUGAAAGCAUCAAACUUAUUCUAGGUCAGAAAAAAGCUGCAAACUAUUUUAAAGAAAAAUAUCAUCACUCAAAACCUCACAAUUCAUAAUUUCUUACAUCUAAUAAGCAUGCAAAAGAGCAGGACUAUAUGGCUUUUUUUUUUUUUUUUGUCUUUUUGCCAUUUCUGGGCCGCUCCCGCAGCAUAUGGAGGUUCCCAGGCUAGGGGUCGAAUCGGAGCAAUAGCUGCCAGCCUACGCCAGAGCCAUAGCAAUGCGGGAUCUGAACCGAGUCUGUGACCUACACCACAGCUCAUGGCAACGCCGGAUCAUUAACCCACCGAGCAAGGGCAGGAAUCGAACCCACAACCUCAUGGUUCCUAGUAGGAUUCGUUAACCACUGUGCCACAACAGGAACUCCAUAUAUGGCUCAUUUUUGAUAGAAAAAAAUUAAUAGAAACAGACCUAGAUAUGAGAAAAAUGAUGGAGUGAUCAGACAAAUGUCUUAAGCAUCUAGUAUAAACCUUAAAAACAAAUUUAAAGAUAUUAAGAGAACAUAAGAGAUAGAAACUAUAAAAGUAAAACUUUUAGAACUUCUAGAGAUUCAAGUAUAAUAUUUGAAUGAAAAAUACAUUAGAUGCAAUCAAUUACAGAUUAGAAAUUGCAGAAGGAAACAUUAGUGAACUUGAAGGCAUACCAAUAGAAAAUAUCUAAGAUUUGCUUCAUCAAGGACCUGUGAGAUAGUAAGUUGCCUUAUAUAAAUAAAAUUGGAGUCUGGUAGGGGAGGGAAGAAAGAAUGAUCAAAAUAGAAAUUUCGUAUUGUGGCUCAGUGGUAAUAAGCCCAACUAGUAUCCAUGAGGAUGCAGGUUUGAUUCUUGGCCUUGCUCAGUGGAUUAAGGAUCCAGCAUUGCUGUGAGCUGUGAUGUAGGUCAUAGACACAGCCCAGAUCCCACCUUGCUGUGGCUGUGGCAGUGGCUGUGGCCAGCAGCUACAGCUCUGAUUCAACCCCUAGCCUGGGAACUUCCAUAUGGGUACAGCCCUAAAAAAAAAAA